CCUGUAGCAUUUCUGAUAUCCUCAGAUCUUCUGAAACUCUUUAUUUACUUUUUUUCUUCUUAUUUUGAUUAUAGAAGAGCAAAAAGUCCUAGAAAGCUUGGUCCUGGCUCAUGACAAUGGAAGAGCUCUGUCCUGGAGUAUCAGACCUGCUGUGCUGGAUGAGAUGCACUGUGCAAGCUCUAGAAAGUGGAAUGGGAUGUUCCCUCUCAGACCGGAAUUGAGAAACAUUCUGUUUAAAAGGAUAGCUGUCAUUUACUAUUCAUUGAGCAGCCACCAUAUUCUUAGUGCCAUAUGAAGCAUACAUAUAUACAUGAUGUUUGAAAAGAGGAAACUAGUUUUUUUAUAGGAGCCAGUUACCAGUGAUACUUGAUUUGGAAAGGGAUAGAAGGAAUAAUUGGUGCUUUACCUUUUGCUAACUGAAAAAAAUGCCACAUGAGAGGAAAAAAAAAAUGCUACAUGGAUUGCCAAGAUGGUGAUCCUGAAAAACCAUUUACAAUAUUCAAUUAACAAUAAUUAAGGUACUCAGUAUGAUGCUCCUUGCUGACUUUCUAAAUAGCAAAAAUUGGUACUUGGAAUUCCCAGUGGAUGAGAGAAAAGAUAAUAAGUACCCAAAAUAUAAAGACAAUCGAAAUGAAACCAAUUAUGACCAAAUUAUAUAACACAAAUAGACACACAAGUUGAAUUAGGAAUAUUUAAGGUUUUGACAAGAAAUAUUAAAAAGAGAUAUAAUAACAUUUAGCCAUUAAUUGAUCAUCCAAUCUAGUUUAGUUCCGGGAAGAGAGCUGGUUUAUAAACCCUCAAGUUUUACAUGUGUUCAUAAGGGACCACAGUUUAUUACAACCACCUCAUAUUUCUAGGAGCUAGUAAAGGCUAAUUUUAUGUUAAUGUAGUUAAUAAUGAACCAUAAUUGAUUCUAUUACCAAUAGUCUUAAAAAGACAGUUAGCUAGUCAUUUAGGCCGUCUUUCCACAAUCACAUACUCACAAGAUAUUAAUGCUCAUUUGAUUUACUAUAUUCAACUUUGUAAUUUUAAACUAUUCUCCACCAACUAAUUUUCUAAGGCAUUAAAGAAGAUUCUUCUUUAUAGUUUUUUCUCACAUACUCUUACUACAACUGAUUUCUCCACCAAUUUCUCCUCCAUAUAUUUGAAAUUGUACAAUCAUCUCCAAUAAUCCUCCAAUAUCCAAUUAAGGUAUAAAUCCAGGGUUGCUGGUAUAUGCUUGUAAUGCAGUAAAUCUAAAGCAUGGGAGACUUGUUAGAUUUCACUAAUCCAACCUCCCCAUUCAUAUGUGUAUAUUCAUAUUUCAAACUGACUAAUAUUUUAAGUCUAAAAAACUAACACAGUCUGAUCUCUAGCAAGGAGAAAAACAAUAAAAGUCCUUUUUCAAAUCCUCUUCUCUACUCCUCUGUAUGUCCAAAACUCUGUUAAGCUCAAUUAAAUCUUUGCUUUUUAAAACUUAAUGAGUAUGUUUGAAUAAAACCCUCAUACUUAUUAUCAGAAAGCUAAGUCAGCCAGUCCUUUCAUAUGAAAAAAACUCUAAGGAGUGCAUAAAUUAUGGCUAUCAUACUGGUGAAAAAUGUAUAUUUGUGUGUGUGUAUAUACAUAUAAAUGUACAUAUAAAUAUAGGUGUAUUUAUAUAAAAAUAUGUUUUUCAAAAAUUUGAUCCUACUUUUCUGUGGCCUGCUUUUAUUCAUUUGAUUAAUCCUUUGUUCAACAUUUAGGAUCUUCCAGUUUGCUUGUACAUACAUCUUUACACACUUAUCUGAUUGUUUCCUUGGGAUGAAUUUCUUCAGGUCAUAUGUUUAAGCCUUCAAAUAUAUAUUGACAAUUUGCUCUCCAGAAAGGUGGUUUCAUUUUGCAUUGCCAUGGGCUGUGUAUCUACGUGUCAAAUAACCCACAUCCCAGAUAGCGCUGAUUUUUCCUUAUCUGAUAGAUGAAAAAAGGUAUCUGGCUGCCAUUUGUAUUCUCUGGUUACUGGUAAGGAUGAAAUGCUUUUGUAUUUUAAAUAGUCAUUUCUCAUAUUGUAAAUUCCCACAUCAUGUUCUUUGUUCAGUUUUUACCUCGUAAGAAUACUGACCUGUUGUUAGUUACAUCUACAGUCUUACCAAUGCUUUUCCUGGUCGUAUUUGUCUCUAAAAUUUGUUCACAGUAUUUUUUCUAUUUUUGUAUGCUUGUUUUUAAAAAAUAAAUACUCCUAGAAGCAGUUUUUAACAAAUUGAAAAAAUCCACUUGGGAAACCGGUAGACAUUUGCCAACUUUUAAAAACAGUUUUUAAAUGGCUGUAAUUCAGUAUGGACUUUGGAAUACAGAACCUCUCUUCCAAUUCUUUCAUCCACGGAGUGUCUCUAUGUGAAAAGCACUAAGAUAGCCAUUGUGGGGUUGGGUGGGUACUAGGAUGUUUACACCUGAUCCCUGUCUUCAGAUCUAUGCAAAAUAAAGCAACAGCUACACAUGGUUCAACAAGAGUGAGCAUAAGAGGAUCUUAUGAUUGGAUCUGGGGGAUGGGCCGUGCACAGGCAUUACAGUUCAGAGCUUUAAAAAAUGGUUGUUCAGUGGAACUUGUGGGAAGAUGUAUGGUUGUUGACGAGCCAGUUGGUUUGCUUCAGUGGCAUGACUGGUUUAACUUGGGGAUUAGAUGAAUGUGCCACCCUGAAUUAUAUCCUGUGUCUCCUUUAGGGUAUAUAUCAAUUCAGAUCCAGUAAUGAACUCUCAUUUGGAGCAGAGUACAGACCUGACCCUACUAAUCCUGGCUAUCAGGUUAUUUUCUCUAUGCAAGUAAAAGCAAGGACCUGAUCUAAUACACUCUACUAGGAAGAACGUCUGCCGUCCUCUAAGAUUUCUAUCAAAAUCAUAGUUUGCCAAGGUGUAAGCUGACUGCAGUCUUUAUUGGAGUGUGGAUCAGCCAGCUGGCAAGCCCUGGCCACCACUCUCUCCAGGCUAACAGCCAACAACCCAGCACUCCAAUCAAGAUUCAUACCCUCUGCAACAUUUAUUUAAUUUUAUUUUUUGAGGCAUUCUAUUAAUUGGGGCCUUUUGCAGAGUCUCAGGCACUUUGAAGUGCCCAUUCUCCCAUCACUUUCUGGUGAAAAUUUAUAGUCUUGUCACAUGUGUCUUCAGCAAGAAAUCUGUACAAAGACUGAAGUUGAUUCUUUUUUUUUUCUUUACCUAACUCAACUUAGCAGAAAUGAGACAGAGGAACUGUCAGUCAUUUCCAAGGAUGACAAUUUUCACUGCUUGACAAUCUUAAACAUAAAAUUCCAGCUAUUUGAUGAUAUGCCUGUGUAUGGCCCAUCCCCCAGAUCCGAUGAUAAGUGUUGAACAGCAGGUUUAGGGCCCUUUGCUUAGGCAUGAUAAUUUAGGGAAAUAGUUAGCUCAUCAAAAUUGGCUAGGCGCCCUGUUUUCAUAUUAUCCAGACAGAAGUCACUGAACCACAACUUUGCUGCUUAGAAACAGGCACUAAAAGGGAGGGAGCGGGGGAACUAUGAAUAGUUAGCCAGUUACCGUAUUCAAUCAUGAAGUGUACUUUACACUCAAGGAUAAACUGAUACAUGUUAAAUUAUGCCUGAAGAAAUGUCUGGAAGAGCGCUCUGGAGAUCUGCUGGCUGAACUCUGGUUUUCUCUAGCCAGGUGACCUUUAGUAAGCCCAGGGUUCUUUGAACCAGAGGUUCUCCUCAUAUGAAAGAGAGUCUGAAUCGAAAUCUUCCAAGUUCUAAAGCUCCAAGUUUUGAGGACUUAAUCAAAAAGCCACAUUAAUCAUCCCUAUGUUCAGGUACACCCUACUUUUAAAAAGUCACUCUUUAAAACUGUAAACUUAUAAUUCAUUAAGUAAUUACUAUCUUUUUGUCUACAUAGGUGGUUUAGCAGAGUAUAUCCUCUGUCUCAUCUUAAGAUGUUCACAGAGCACAAACACCCACUAGAAGAGAUAACAGAGGCCCAGAGUACUGUGGAGUUUGGAAAACCAGAUGUGACCCUUUCCAGCUCCUUUGACCUAAGGCUAACUCCAUGAUAUCUGGUUGGAGACUGCUAGCUGGGUUUCAUGGAGCAAUUGGCAUUUAAUGAGGACCUUAAAUGAACAACGAGAUUUCCAAAGAGAUAUGAAAUGGAGGAAAUUCUAGGCAGAGAGAACAGAAUACACAGAGAUGCAGACCCAAGAAAGUUUGGGCAAUAGUUAAAGAACCCCUGAAUUCAAACACCUAGAGACAAGAAAUCCAAUUUGUCUGCAAUCCAAGUUAGAGUAUUAAUUUAUCUUUUCCACAAAUAUUGAUUGAACACCUACUCUGUAGGACACACCAUGCUUGUAUGUCUUUAGGACAGCUAAAGAUGACUCUCAAAGUUCAAAUAUAGGUUUAAGCUAGACUUUUAAAUACUAAAAGAAAUAUGUGCAUAUUUGGCACAAAAUACAAAGGAGGACAAAGAGCUAAAUUAAAAAUCACCUACCUUAUUUAUAGACUUUGAAGGUAAUAUCUCAUCUAGUACACAGAAUCAAAGAUAUAAAUUUGUAUGAAUACAGAAGCAAUCACUGAUUAGCUCAAAGCAACAUUUAAACCGAUCUUUGCAGUGAAAAGGCAUUAGAAAAAGCAAUCUAAAGAACACCUGUUUAGAUGCACUAGCAUCAAAAAUUAGGUUCUUCAGGGAAUGAGGAGUUUUCAGCUGCCUUCAUUCCAGUGGGAGGCAAUAGAGCUUAGCAUUUUUAUUACUGUAAUCAGGAACAUUUAAGGGGGCCAGAGGAAAAUAUUCACACCCACCUCUUAAUCUUGAAGAGGAGGCAGGCAAGUCCCUUACUUAAGUCACUCAAUUAGCAUGGACUGGGGCUGAGGGAGGAGAUUCUGUGCUUGACAAUUUCUCUUUAAGAAAUCUGAGCCCUAGACUUUCUAGUAAAAGAUAAACUAAUGGCCAGUGUAAACCAUGUGACCCAAGAAACCCCAGGCAGUGAAUCUGAUUGGUGCAAAGGUGGAGGGGGCAGAUUUGAUGCCUCCACAUGACCUCUGGUCUACAGUGGCUGGUGCAUCCCCUAGGGGUCAGUUUGAAGGCACUAAAGUUGGCACAGCACAACUCUAGGGAAGGGGAAUGUCAUUCACAGAGACUAUGAUAGGAAUGUCAAGUGGGAGAGCUUGGCUUCAUUCCUGCUGCCCCUCCACAGAUGCCUUCCUUAUUAUAACAGUAACAAUAGUAGCUAGUGCCUACUGAGUGCUUACUAUGUGCCAGAUGCCAUGCAUUUGAUGUGCAAAAUCCCAUUGAGUCCCAUGAGCAGGUAAUAUUAAUAUCCCCACUUUGCAAGUAGUAGAGUGAUCAUACCAUAAAUUUAUUAUCCCACCUGAGGCAUUUCUGAGAGAGAAAGGAGGUGCUAUUGCUAACGACAUUGGGACUAUAGGUAUAAACUGGGGAUUACUCAGCUGAACCAGAGUAUGUGGUCACCCUGUAGAUAAGGGGGCUCAGGGGCAGAGUCAAGGUCAAAGAAACUUUGCAAUGUCAGACUCAAAAUGUUUCUAUUGAACAGCUUUCAUUUUUGGGCCAGGCCUUUCUCAGCUUCAAUAUUUUUGUCUAUUGGAGUUCCCGUCAUGGCUCAGCGGAAAUGAAUCUGACUAGCAUCCAUGAGGAUGCGGGUUGGAUCCCUGACCUCCCUCAGUGGGUUAAGGAUCCGGAGUUACCAUGAGCUGUGGUGUAGGUCACAGACGCGGCUAGGAUCACGCGUUGCUGUGGCUGUGGUAUAGGCUGGCAUCUACAGCUUCAAUUCGAGCCGUAGCCUGGGAACUUCCAUAUGCCACAGGCUGGGAGCUUAAAGUACUAGUCACUUCAAUCUUCCUUUAGAAUCCAGGAUUCUUUGGGACCUCAGGCAAGCCCCUUCACUUCUCUGGCCCUCAGUGGCCUCAUUCAUACAAGAAUAGGGUUGGAUUAAGGACAAAACACCCAUUUCAACUUUGACCUUGUUUCUCUUCUGGUUCCUCUGGAUUCAAUCUUUGUUCACUCAGAGCAGCAGGAGAAUGCCCUUCUCCUCUGCUUUUAGUUCAGAGAAGACACUUCUUUUGUUUAUGCCACUUCUUUUGUUUAUGCCUACUUUCUCUAGUGACUUCUCCAGGAGGUUGAAAAUGGUGGCUGUGGGGAGACUUUCUCCCCUAUUCUCUUCUUUCCAUUGCCUUUGCUUUUGUUGGACCUCCUUAUGUAGAUCUCUCCUCAAUUUGAAAUGCCAGGGAGUAAGCUGACAAGCUGGACAAGGAAGCCCACUUGGAUCUGGUCAGGUGGAACUUUUCCCUGCAACUUACCACUCUGUCCUUUCUCUGCACUACCAAACAUCUGUACUGGGGAAAGUAUGCCACACAUUUUAUUCAGAGGUCACACAACAAUGCUAAUGAAAGGACCAUUUUUCUUAAGAAUAAAUGCUGGAAUUGAAUUGAGAAGAGGUCUUAAACGCCUUAAUGAAGCAAACGCAGUGGGAGGUGGGAAGAGGACAUAGGGCUUGUAGUGUUGGGUGGCUCCUUGUGAUCGCCAUAAAUCCUUGCAACAGUGCAGCCACCAGAACUGGCAAGAACACUUGGGUGUGCCUUUUUCUUUCCUUCCUCCCUCCCUUCUUCCUUCCUUACUUCAAAGAUGUUAACUGAGUACCUACCAUGUUAUAUUCAGAAACUAUGUUAGGCCCUGAGGGUUGGAAUAAAUGAAAAAAUAGGCAUGGUCUCUGCUUCACAGAGCUUCCACUGCAGUGGUGAGAAAGAUGCUAAUCUAAUAACCACCCACAAAAAAAGUGUCAGAUUAGGAUUCUAAGAAGUGCCAUGGAGGAGAAAUACAGGGUGCUAUGGAGAGGUUGACCUAGUUCGAGAGGCCAGGCAAGGUUUCCCUAAGGAAGUGAUGAGGCUCCGGCCUGAGACGGGAAGGAUGAGUUGGUGUUCCGGGCAGAGGAAGCAGCUUGUGUAAAAGCCCUGAGGUGAGAGGAAGCUCAGAGGGUUUGAAGAACCGAAAGAAGGUCAGAGUGUCUGGAGCCCUGAGAACAAGGGGAAAGGGUGCAGGUCGGGGCUGGAGAGGGAGAUAGAGCCCAGACCACACUGGGCCCCCGAAGCCUCUAUAAGCAUUCAGUCUUUUCCUCAGAGUCUCAGAGAAUUUCUGCAAGUGUCUUCAGCAGGAAGGUGAAGGAUCAGAGUUUAUUUGAAAAUGAUCGCUCCUAGAAAAUGGAUUCAAACGUGGCAAGAAAUGAAGCCAGGACAUAACACGGAGUAAUGAUAUUUAAUGUUUAUGGAAACACAGAACCAUGGACCAAGUAUUAUUUUAGGAAAUUUAUUCACAUUAUCUCUAACUCUUACAGACCACAGGCCAGGGUGCUAUUAUCCCCUCUUUUCACAGAUGAGAAGAUUGAGACACAAAACAACUGGGCCACUGUUGCCUGGCUAGUAAGUGCUAGAAGCAGGCUAUGACCUAGGCAGUCCAUCUGUGGAGCCCACUGCUUGACUGGUACAGCACAGAGGCUCCUUCCUGCCUGUGGGCCAGACAGGAGACAGAGCAGGGGUCUGCACCAAACUGUUGGCUGUGGACAGACCCUGGAGCUAGUAAGCAGGAAGAACUGGCAGGACUCAGACCAGCUGUUGGGGUAUGGGGUGUCCCAGGUUUCUGGGUAGAUAAGGUGGGAGGGGAUGCAGCUCCAGGUCUAGAGAGCCUUCAAGGGGCCAGGUUUGAGGUGGAGAGCGUGGUUUUGUUGGUAACUUCUUUACAAAACAGCUUUGAUAAUUCAUUGUGAGCACUCAGCAUGUUUGCUUGCUUUCUCUUCCUCUUACUGGGAAUUCCUGCUAAUAACUAACUACUUUAGUUCUCUUCUUUCAAAAGCUAGAUCUAUGUCAUUUCUUUUUCUGCUUUAUUUAUUUAUUCAAAUUGAUGUUUAAUUCUUUUAGUUUCUAAAAAUUUUACUUCCACUCUGACUGCAUUCCUAGAAAUUCUGUCUGAAGAUUACUUGGAUUCACAUGUUCAUUGAUUUUAUUCCCCGCUUCCCAGAAUUAAUUUGAGAAAAAAAGCCAUGUUUUCUAGCUUCCAAACACUUUGUCUUCUGCCAACAGCUGGCAUUCUUAAUCCCGACAUUGGUCAGCCUUGAGCCUUGGAAUGUAUCUAUCACUUUAUUUCAACAAUGCACUUUAGGUAUUUACAUGUUUAAAUUUCUUAAACAAUACAAACUCCAUUUGUCUAUAGCUGCCACUAAAGUACAUUUUAAAAUACACAGUUAUUUAAGUCUUGCCUCAGGAUAGUUUUUGGAAAACUUCCUAAAGAACAAUCUUUUCACAGAUUUCUGGUUCAAACUACUGGACUACAAAGACCAAUUUGGCAAGGUUAUUCUCUCUCCCUCUCUCCCUCUCUCUCCCCCUCUCUCUUGCUCACUCUCUCUCUCUCUCACACAUACACACACACACACUCACAGUUUUAAAAAGGAAGAUGAAGUCAUCUACUAUUGCAAAAUUUCUUUCAAUUCUAAAAUAUAUCACCAGAGGGACAGUUCUAGCAAAUUAGUCAGAAUUGUAAUUCUAACUCUGUAGGGUACCUCUGGCUAAGCUAUUUCCCCCUAGUGAUUCCACAAAAGCAGCAAGACUCCAUUUAUGCUUCUUUGUUAAAAUGCAUUGUGAAAUGGAGGUUGAUUAUGCUUUCAUUAAUUCGUGCGGUGAUGAUUUGGCGCUUACUAUGUGCCACAGACUGUAGCAGGGAGCACAGUGAUGUUCUAGGAGGGCAUAAACUCCACCUUAAAUUUCAAUCAUGUGGAGGAAUCAGAACUAAAGAAGCAAUUACAUUAUAGUUUCUGGAGGAAGAAAUCUUUAAGCUCAGAC
rnacentral:lncRNA from 1 species